CAGUCGUACCGACGGAAAAUCAGCUCUUCGAGUGUGAACUUGUGGGUGUACGUGAGCUUUAACCGGCCUCGUUGUUUGCAAUGUUUGUGCUUUUUGGGUGUACUUUUUCGUAUGGUAGGCCAACGUCAGUCUCGGUCACCAUAAAAUGAUCAGAGGAAUGUAGCUUCGAUCUUGUAUUGAAGUGUUAUAGUCCCUUAUAAAAUAUCGUGUUCUGGACUGAGGAUCGCAGCAAAAACGUGG
rnacentral:rRNA from 1 species